rnacentral:lncRNA from 1 species
AGGCAGAGAGAAGGAUAGUCAGAUUGCGUAGCAGGGUUAGGUGGGUUUCCGUGCUAAGUACAGCAAUUGCGCACGGUCCCUUACGUAACUGUCAGCUGGGGAUUCCCUAGAGGGGGUCACUGUAUUCAACCAUUACACAGACCCCUGCCGCCGUUCCAACACGCCUGGGCUGCCGUUGCCGCCGCUACUGAGGCUGCGGCUGCAGCUACAACGGCGGCUCCUCACAAAAUGGCGGCGCCCAUGGACGCGGCAGCAGCCCCAUUUUGUGCCCACAGAGCUGUCAACAAAACACGGACUCGGCCGGGGCAGAGACGCAGAAGUCGGCGGCGAAGCGACGUUAUGGGGAGCGAGGGACUUCACCAGCUUCUCGUCCCCGAGAAGAGACUUUCUCUAAAGCGUGCGCGCACUGGGCGGGGGAGGCGAGCAGCGGACGAAGCGGCGAAUUGAGCGCUGGGACCAGCAGGGAGCGAGAGCUCUGCGGGGACCUUCCGGAGCUGUGGCUCCGUGGUCGGGGCGAUGGUCCUGCCCUGUGCGAUCCGGGAUGCUCGGCAGCAAGGCGCUGCCCCGGUCUCGCCGGCGGGGACAGGGAGGUUCCCCGUGGGGGAUAGGUCUUGGACAGUGGGGAUGGGAGCGGAUUUGCUGUCUCCUCCUGGAGAUCUUGUUCCGGGCUCGCUCCUUGCUCUUAAACCUCUCCCUUCUUGAGCUCGUGGUUGGCAGCCCAGUUUAUGUAACUUUAUUGCUGUAGGAAUCUUGCAAACCUGCAAGGAGCUGCAGGAAGAUCUGGAUUCUUAGUUUAGUUAAUUAGGUCAAUUUCAGCAUUUAAUUACUGUUUGCUUCUUUUUAGUGCGUGCCUUUGGAAUCGGCCUAUUAGGUUGAUGCUUCAGUUUACAUUAGCUAACAGCAAGCUCCCUACCUUACCUCAAAGGCUGCUUGGAGGGGAGUGGGGAAGAGAAGAGCAAAGGGCCCAGAGCUGCAGCUGGGAGUUCCUGGGCUUUCACUCCUCAGUCCUAGUAUCAAUCCAUGAGGAAAAUCUGUACUUUGGAGAUUUUAAAAAUAAUAGAAGAAUCGGUGAGAGAGGUGGCAGUGACCAGAUUAAGAUAUAUGCCAAACUACCCCCUUCACCACAGCAUGGGCCGGAAAGGAGGACUUACUCAACAAAAGUACAGAUCACUGUAUAUCUCUUUCCCUCCUGACCCACACCCAUUGAGAGAUCUCAUGAACUGAAAUGGCUGCUAACUGGACUCUCAGGGAACUUUAGGCCUGGUCUACACUAGGAGGUUAUGUCGGAUUGCCAGCAGCAGGAACUGGCCAACGCUAGGAGCAUUGCUUGGAACGUGAAAGGAGGGCACUGCUAUAAAUUAAGCUUUAAGCAGCCAAAAGUCUACGGCUUACCAUGUCCGCCUGCUAGCCGAAUUCUGUUGUCCGGCCCCGCUUGUGUGAUCUGUACAGCAAGACCCCAGGCACUCAAUGGGAAGGCCGAAAAUUCGACCUUGUAUUGAGUGCGCAUGUGAUAGGUGCUGUGCAUGGUCUUGUUCACAGAGAAAGACUAUAUUAAUUGUUCGCAAAACUGUAUCUUUCUGAGGAAUUCACUCCCUUUUUCCCAUCCCACAGCUGCGAGUGUCUCCUGAGCUACCCCGACAUCCCCCUCCCAGAGGCUGGCACAGAUCAGGUGAUGAA